GGCGAGUGGGUUUCCCUUCCGGAGUUCACCGCCGCCCCCCCGCCCGCCGGGUUCGCUUCCGGCUCCGUCCGGGGGGGCCGCUGCUGGCGCCGCCGCCGAGGGGAGCGCGGGCAGCCCGGGGCCCAUGGAGCCGCGGCUGUGAGGCGCCCCCGGCCCGGGCCCGCUGCGGGAGCCGGAGCCGGGAGCCGCGGGAGCCGGAGGAGAUGGAUAAACUGACCAUCAUCUCAGGAUGCCUCUUCCUGGCCGCCGACAUCUUCGCCAUCGCCAGCCUGGCGAACCCGGACUGGAUCAACACCGGCGAGUCCGCAGGUAUGCAAGAGGAGUUAAAAACAUGGCCCUGAGACCCAGUUGUUGCCAACCCAUGGACAGGCCAAUGUGAGACAGGACUUCCUAUGUGGAAGGAGAAGCAGUAAAAUGCGAAGAUCUGGAGUUUUGGCAUUGCUGCUGGGAGCUGCGCUGCUGCUGCAGGAGAUGCUGCUGCUGCCAUGACCGAAACAGCCUGCCCACCUCCUGUCGCUGGCACAUCAGCACUGCGGUCGCGAGGCGAUGAGCAGAGCGCUUCGGAGAAGGCUGCGAUAGCUCUCCAUUGACCUCUCUCCACUCAGUCCUAUCAUUUUACAGCUCUGUCUGAAGCCAAAUAUAACUCUGUUAAAAAACACAAGCUCAUCAGAUGUUAAAUGGCAGAACAGCUGUAGGUGUCAUAGCUUCUGGCUUUCUACAGAACAUACGGUAGAAAACUGAUGUAGCUGACUAGAAAAAUCACUUAAAUAUUGAUACUGCCUCUUUUUUUUUUUUUUUCCUUUUAAGAAUUCUGUCAACUUUGAAUAGCUCUUUUUUGGUUGGGGGAAAAUGGUAAAUAAUUACAGGGUUUUUUUUUGUUUGUGUUUAAGCUAAAUAAAACCUUAAGUUUGUUUAAAUUAAAUCUUUUUUUCCAGGCCAUUGCCACUUGAGUUACUGCAAGGAUUCUAAUCCUCACUGACAACGCUAUCCUAUUGUGCAAAUGUUUACGGUGUCAAAAAUAAACCGCCAGAAGGAUGGAACUUAUUAGAGAUCCUGUUUACUGACAUUUAAUUAAUGCUGUCUUCUGAAGUAGGGAAGAACACCUUCAGCGUGGGCAGAUUUCUUGGCUCCACUAUGCGAGAACACACAGAGCCUUUGUUACGUCCUCAGGAGAGCUGUUCCUGCGUUGUUGCCGGAGGAUAACUCUUUCAACGUGUGGGGUGGUCCAUCUCUAUUUCUUUCUUAUUUUCAGUAUCAUGCUUUAAAAAAACUUACAUGUUGGAAUCCAGAAAUAAACUUGUGUCUUACUGGCCCAAAUGUCUGUAAUUUAAGUAGGUCACAACUCAUAUCAUAAUGAUUGUUGUCUAUAGUAAUAAACUUUUCUAAUAUAUGUGAGCCAUAAGGCUCUUUCCCA